rfam:Lachnospiraceae bacterium strain KH1P17 genome assembly, contig: Ga0059119_102
GCUGGAAUGGCUCAGGUGGUAGAGCGCAUCAUUGGUAGUGAUGAGGUCCGCAGUUCGACUCUGCGUUCCAGCA